UGUGGUAAUUCUAGAGCUAAUACAUGCAAACAGAGCUCCGACCGGAGACGGGAGGAGUGCUUUUAUUAGAUCAAAACCAAUCGGCGGCGGGCGCGCUCGCGCGUCCGUUCGCCGCUCAACCUGGUGACUCUGAAUAACUUUCCGCUGAUCGCA
rnacentral:rRNA from 1 species